GGCUCAGAUUGAACGCUGGCGGCAGGCCUAACACAUGCAAGUCGAGCGGAUGAGAGGAGCUUGCUCCUGGAUUCAGCGGCGGACGGGUGAGUAAUGCCUAGGAAUCUGCCUGGUAGUGGGGGACAACGUUUCGAAAGGAACGCUAAUACCGCAUACGUCCUACGGGAGAAAGCAGGGGACCUUCGGGCCUUGCGCUAUCAGAUGAGCCUAGGUCGGAUUAGCUAGUUGGUGAGGUAAUGGCUCACCAAGGCGACGAUCCGUAACUGGUCUGAGAGGAUGAUCAGUCACACUGGAACUGAGACACGGUCCAGACUCCUACGGGAGGCAGCAGUGGGGAAUAUUGGACAAUGGGCGAAAGCCUGAUCCAGCCAUGCCGCGUGUGUGAAGAAGGUCUUCGGAUUGUAAAGCACUUUAAGUUGGGAGGAAGGGCAGUAACUUAAUACGUUG
rnacentral:rRNA from 1 species